UGGGCGGCGGGGCCCGGCGCCCGCUCGGCCCGCCCCUUUCCCCGCCGCUGUCAGAGACGCGGUGUAUGCUGAGCCGCUGCCACUGCCGGCUGCUGCACGUCGUGGGCCCGAGCUUCUCGCUGCUGACCUGCCGGCUGCGCCGCUGCGUUCCUCGCCCCAUGAAGCCGCUGGUCGUGUUCGUCCUCGGCGGUCCCGGAGCCGGCAAGGGGACCCAGUGCACCCGCAUCGUGGAGAAAUAUGGCUACACACACCUUUCUGCAGGAGAACUUCUUCGUGAUGAAAGGAAUAACCCAGAGUCACAGUAUGGUGAACUCAUUGGAAAGUACAUUAAAGAUGGAAAGAUUGUGCCAGUUGAGAUAACUAUCAGUUUAUUAAAGAGGGAAAUGGAUCAAACAAUGGCUGCCAAUUCCCAGAGGAAUAAAUUUUUGAUUGAUGGGUUUCCAAGAAAUCAAGACAACCUUCAAGGCUGGAACAAGACUAUGGAUGGGAAAGCAGAUGUAUCUUUUGUUCUGUUUUUUGACUGUAAUAAUGAGAUCUGUAUUGAACGAUGUCUUGAAAGGGGAAAAAGUAGUGGUAGAAGUGAUGACAACAGAGAGAGCUUGGAGAAGAGGAUCCAGACUUAUCUUCAGUCAACGAAGCCAAUUAUUGAC